rnacentral:rRNA from 1 species
UACGUAGGGGGCAAGCGUUGUCCGGAAUCAUUGGGCGUAAAGCGCGUGUAGGCGGCCCGGUAAGUCCGCUGUGAAAGUCGGGGGCUCAACCCUCGAAUGCCGGUGGAUACUGUCGGGCUAGAGUGCGGAAGAGGCGAGUGGAAUUCCGUGGUGUAGCGGUGAAAUGCGCAGAUAUCAGGAGGAACACCGGUGGCGAAGGCGGUUCUCUAGUACGGUACUGACGCUGAGACGCGAAAGCGUGGGGGAGCGAAACAGG